rnacentral:lncRNA from 1 species
GUUUAGUGAUCAAACUACAAUUAGGAUCAAAUUGAUUAGAUCAGGCUAGAAUCUGUUGUUGAUUUUGAGUAGUUGAUUGAACCUAAUCAAUGGUUAAUUAGGAUUAGAUCAAAGGAGCUCAAAGUCAAGUUUAGUUGUAGUUGGUCACAUCGAUUCAUAUUUUAAUAUGAGUUGAUUGACUCAAGAUCAAAUUUGGCUCUAUAGUUCAGGCCCAUGUCAAUAGGUUAACCUGAUUGAUUGUAAUCAACCAAUUUAGUGUCUAAGAUAAGUAUUUAGAUGAUGGUUAUUUAAUUGGUUCUGUUGUCUGACUUGGUCAAUUUGAUUAGUGUCUAAUAAAAGCAACGGGGGAACCUCCACUCAUCUUAAAAUAUCUGGCCAUCUUGGGAGACUCAGUUUCAUGC